rnacentral:tRNA from 1 species
GCCUCCGUGGCCCAAUGGAUUAAGGCACCGGCCUCCUAAGCCGGGGAUUGCGGGUUCGAGUCCCGUCGGAGGUA